rnacentral:rRNA from 1 species
AUGAAGCCACACAUGUCCGCUACGGUACUGAGAGCCCCGAGGGUGGCGGCCGUGGUCCUGGCGGCGGUGCUCGCCACGGCCGUGAACGGCGCCCAGAGGUGCGGCGACCAGGCCCGCGGCGCAAAGUGCCCCAACUGCCUCUGCUGCGGUAAAUACGGCUUCUGCGGCAGUGGCGACGCCUACUGCGGCGCCGGCAGCUGCCAGAGCCAGUGCCGCGGCUGCCGGGACGACGUCGUGGGGCAGGCGUUGCCGGCCGAACCGGGUUCUACAAGAGCUACUGCGGCGUCCUCGGCGUCGGCCAGGGGAUUAAACUUGACUGCUACAACCGGAGGCCCUUGA